rnacentral:rRNA from 1 species
GACGGAGGGUGCUAGCGUUGUUCGGAAUCACUGGGCGUAAAGGGCGCGCAGGCGGCCCGCCAAGUCGGGCGCGAAAGCCCGGGGCUCAACCCCGGAACGGCGCUCGGGACUGGCGGGCUCGAGACCGGGAGAGGAGGGUGGAAUACCCAGUGUAGAGGUGAAAUUCGUAGAUAUUGGGUGGAACACCGGUGGCGAAAGCGGCUCUCUGGCCCGGUUCUGACGCUGAGGCGCGAAAGCGUGGGGAGCAAACAGG